rnacentral:ncRNA from 1 species
UCUUAUUAAGAGUGGUGGAGGGACUGGCCCGAUGAAGCCCGGCAACCAUUCCGCAUAAGGAUGCGGUUACGGUGCUACUUCCAGCAAAGCGCAUGCUUUGGGAAAUAAG